GACGAACGCUGGCGGCGUGCUUAACACAUGCAAGUCGAACGAAGUGGCGAACGGGUGAGUAACGCGUAAUCAACCUGCCCUUCAGAGGGGGACAACAGUUGGAAACGACUGCUAAUACCGCAUACUGAAGGAGGGGAUUGCGUCGGAUUAGCUGGUUGGAGGGGUAACGGCCCACCAAGGCGAUGAUCAGUAGCCGGUCUGGGAGGAUGAACGGCACAAUUGGGACUGAAAAACGGCCCAGACUGCGACGGGGGGCAGCAGUGGGGAAUUUUCCGCAAUGGACGAAAGUCUGACGGAGCAACGCCGCGUGAGUGAUGACGGCCUUCGGGUUGUAAAGCUCUGUUAAUCGGGACGCGGUACCGGAAUAGAAAGCCACGGCUAACUACGUGCCAGCAGCCGCGGUAAUAC
rnacentral:rRNA from 1 species